rnacentral:rRNA from 1 species
AUGUUGUCGGUUGAGCGUGCAAUGGCCAAAGCCGCUGCGUCCCUUCUCCCGGGUCUUCUCCCAACGCCGCCGACGAAGUCUUGCCUCAUCAUCCUGCCGGCUUCGUUCGCCUCCAACCCCAAGCCCGGCCGCGCCGACUCCGUCGAGAGGUGGGACGCACACAAGAAUGAGAAGAAGCCCAAGAGCCCAGCCUCGCCGUGCUCCAGCAGCUCAAGUCCCGACCGCGCCUCCUCCUGCAAGCAUUGGGACAUAAACAAGCAGAUCUCCGUCAGCAGCUGCACGUCUUCGUCAUCGUCGUCAAGCAGGCGAAGCAGAACGAGCACCGGCGAGGCAUCGCCGUGCGGGAGGUGGGAUAGCAACAAGCACCUGCCGCCCAGCUGCGCGACCUACGCUGAUCGCUGGGACACGCACAAGAAGCCUCGCCCGGCACAAGCUGCCGCCGUGAGCUGGACGGCCAACAAGGAGGACCAUAAGGUCGACACUGUCAGUUAA